CUAGCGACCGGUCACUUUGCUUUGUCACGGAAAUAUUUUGUAUUAAUAAUAUUUGCUAAAAUAGGGAAUAAAAGGACGUUAAAAUGAAUUGUGCAUCUAGGUGUCCUCGCACAACGCGGGGCAACCAGAAUAAAGGGAAAAACAUACAAUUUUACAGCAUUCCAGUCGGAAGCACUUUCGUACCUUGAACUCGUAAAAAGCCAUUUAUUUAUGGAUAAAUGCAAUAAAGAAACAUAUUAGAAAUCCAGAUGGGUCAUCAAAAAUCGGAAAAUCUUUUACACCCGCCCGGAACAUUUAUGUUUUUUUUUGGUUUUGUGUGCCCUAAUUAGUAGUGAUGCACGGAUUGUGUUCUCACAGAUACGAAAGGAGUGCUAUCAAACAAGAGUUCCAAAGGAGAUGUGUGGCUACCUCAAAGCCUGAUUGAGACGAACAUUUGUAUUUCAACAGAAAAGAAUACCAUUCUUUGAACCUACAAAUGGUGACUCGGGGUACCCCUUGAGACCCUGGCUAUACACAAAACGCCCGUAACUGCAUAGAGCGUUGCUUUGGACUCCUGAAGUCGAGAUGGAGGUGUCUUAACAAGAAACAAACUCUUAACUACGAACCGCAUGUGGCGAGCCAAAUAAGUAUUGCGUGCUGUGUCCUGCACAACAUUGCUCUUAGUGCUAAGUUUGUGAUGUUAUGGUGAAAUAUUGUUUCACUCGGUGCCAAAAUAUGUUAAACCUUCGUGCUUUGCAAUUCUCACAACGCUAAGAUUUCACUUUCGAAAUACUCGCUCGUGUCUUUCACUUACUCGGAUAUGAAGAGCACAGCACAAGCGGUUAAACAAUUUUUUGCUCCUUUUGAAAACAAAUAAAGUAUUAUAUUUAACUACUUCAUGUCUUAUAACGAAACAAAAGGGUUGAACAGUAAAGACAAUUUUGUAUAGCAAAAUAGUUUUAUUUAUUAUUAUCGUCUUUUAACACACUAGCGUUUUCGACUUAUUUGUAAUAGCGGCAUCACAUGACAUGGUAAAGAAACAAUUAUCAGAUCAGUACCACCCGAGUAUAGCCAAAGAGGAUAGAGUAUUAUAGAGCGUUACUGUCAAAGCAAAAUGUGUAAUCACAGUGCAUAGACUGCCAUCUCUCCACACAGGCUUAAAACUUUUGAACCUCAGUUUUGACAAUUUGGCCCAUAUUCUGAGCUUGAUAUGUUUUAAAAUGUCAAAUUUUAAUAUUAGCGCCAUCUAGCCGAGCGUACCUCGAAGGUGUAACGCCAUCUAGGUCACGGUACCUUUAUCUAUAUGGUACUGAGAUACGUUUUUUUCUUAGACUUUAUCCGUCUAGAUGGAGUUAUAUAGGUCUUUGGUAUAGCCUAGAUUCCAGGCUAUGGUAGUAAUUUAAUACUAAAAUAUUUAAGACAACAAUUGUAAAAUAUAAACAUGAGUACAUAAAUACUAACACCCUUAUUCAUAAACAUUCAGUAAAGUUAUCAAGCCGAUAAAGUUCGUUUGUCCCUUUCCGACGUAUAGGUGUGAUAAAAGCGAUCCUGUCAACCCCUGUUCCCUAAACUUAAUAUACUUCCACUGCCUUCCCUUUACAUUUAUGAGGCCUCGAUAUUUGUAAAACUAAAUCCUGAACUCUUUCCUUCACAGGGGAAUCUUUCCAAUAGGCCCUUAUGACAAUAUCAAAUGCCAAUACCGCCACAUAGCUUAGUAGUCAGGAAAAAGAGUGCAUACAUUAUGUGCAUUAGAAUAUUUAACAAAAUUCCUGUAGCUCUAAAAACCUUGCCAAUUCAAGAAUUCAAACGUAAACUCUAUGAAAUGUUAUGUAAGUAUUGUUUUUAUAGUAUUAAUGACUUUUUAAAUUAUAAAUUUCAAUCUAAAUUUUAACUUAAAUUUUUAUGUGUAUGACAU